AAAAUAAAAAAUAAAUUAAAAAAAGACCAUACUUACAAAGAGAAAACAAGCACCAAUCAUUGCUGCUUUGACUGUCACAUCUAGAUCUGCGGGAACAUGAAUUCCGAAGUUGUCAGCAUUGGUAAAGACAUCAUUUACAAAUCCUGACCAGUACUUUGAAAUCUUCCCAAUUGUAAGUUUUUCAUUAAUGGUCUUCACCUUUGAAAAGAAAAUAAGAGAUGUUAAACCUGAAGGUGAAAUGGAUGGCUUUACAUAUCUUAGUAUGUUUGCUUCGAGAGAGAUGCGAAUUAUUUUAUUAGUCAUCUGUAAAUGACAGUUCCAUGUCAUUCAUUCUGUUAUAUAAGCAUAAGUUUGGAGAUUUAACUUUCCAGUUUACUCUUCAGGAAUUUUGCCUUUUUGACAGUUUUUUGAUUCAUCAUAAUUCCUUUAUUUUUUCUUGCUUUUCGUAUGCAGAUUGAGAAAAUAAUAGCAAUAAAUAAUUAAGGCCAGGCUACCACAAGAUGGCAGCAGGUACAUAGUCUCAAUUACAUGGUCUAACCUUGAAGGUAAUUCCAUUACCUGAAGUCUAGAUUUUAAACCUGAAUUCUUCAAUAACAACAACAACAACAACAACAACAAAAGGAAGAAAAAGAAAAAGAAAAUAUUUUUGAGAAAUAUUGGAGAAACAAUUUUUAGAAGAAAUUCAUUUCUAAGUACACAUUGUAAACUUUAAAUUUUUAUUGUUAAGAAUAUAGAAUUACUAACAUAUUUAAACAU
rnacentral:lncRNA from 1 species